GACUUUCUCAUGCUCUCUUCCCACAAGCCAACAGUUCCAAAGCUGUGAGAUUUCUGCUUCUGCCAACCUAGAGCUGAACGGUGCACCAUCUCAGUGACAGCUUCCUUGCAGUCUGACCUACUUUGACCAAUGACUUUCAGGAUUGUCCUCCUCCAAGCCAACUGCCACACGUGAACGCUAGCCUGCUAGAAAGGGCACAUGGAUAAUAGUGGUGUCAUGAGUGAUAGCCCCAACCAGUGACCAGUUGAGUGAUGGAGGCCACCGUCCACGGGCAAGCCAAUGAACCAAAACUUUGAUUCUGCUCCUAGAAUUGCCAGGAACACGUCACCUCCUUAGCAGGUGCUCGGAACAUAUUUGGAGGAUGAAUGAGUCCCCUCGUAUCAGUGCAAAUUCCUCAGCAAAAAGUCACAGGCUGCAAAACUUAAAAAAAAAAAAAAGCAGGAAAACGGUGUAUGUGCUUCAGAGAGCCACCCACCGUGCCAAGCAGGGCGACGUAAGCCGUCUCAUUUGAACCUCCUCACAACAGGAUGGGAACUGCAUAAUCUGGGCAGAGUGCCCCAUGCCUGUGUCCUAGCACUCAGCGAGUUGAGGAAGGAAGACCAGAAGGUACAGGGUCAUUCUCGGCCAUAUUUGCAGUUUGCGGCCAGCCUGGGAGACCCAGACUUGGGCUAGUGAAGAACUGUGGAUGUGAACUGCAGGAUUGCUGUAAGGGACACCCUGAACUCUGCACGGAGAACGCUGUAGUGAGAGAACUGACAGGGAGAGAGGAACAUGGUACCAAAGUAGGAAUGGGUGAGGCUCUGUGUGCCCACAGGACAUGUCCUUACAUGGGUUCAGCCACAGUGUGACUGCUCAGCUGAUGUGUGUAUGCUAAAGGGCAGGGUCCAUGCAUUAGGAGUGGCUGGGCUGGGCUGGUGUGCUGUGCUGUGUUUCCCGUGGAGACAGCACUGAUUCAUUACCCUUCCCAGCCCGCCCAGCUUCUAUCAGGGUUCAACUUGUAGUAAACAAGUCAGAAAAUGCCAUCUGGGUGAGAAAGAGACAGGGGGAGGAGGGGGAGCUUCCGAGGUGACCCUCAGUGUCCUGUCAGCCCCAAAUCUUCCUAGAAACUACACACUGGAUCCACAGAGCUCAGAAUCUCUCUCACCAAUGGCAGAAAACCCUUCUUCACCCAAUUUCCGAUCUUUUUUUUUCUCCUGGAAUGUUCUAGAAACUCUACUCUCCUGGGAUGAUUCUGAGAUAUAACCACUCCAGCUUGCACUGGGGGGUGGGGUGGGGUGUUCUGCUGCCCAGAGGAUAUCUGUUGGGGUGCUUCUGGGAGGUGCGCGUCAAUAAAUCAACCCGUGCGUGCUAUUGAUCAACAGUUUCCCUAAAGUCUGGCCAGCGAAAUUCAGGCUUGUUGUCUAAGUGAGUAGGUCUGACGUUCUCGGAGCAGAGAAAACAGGAGACACAGUUCAGCCCGCAAGAUGAAUAAAACCACAAUCACAACAAGAGCACAAGUAGAGGAGCGAUUAAGUGUCAGAUUGUGAGGGUCUCCCUUGGUUCACCAGGACUUUCAAAAGGGCAGGUAAGACUAGCCAGUUUGCCCCCAAAAUAAGCCAAAGGAGACUGGACGGGCUUGAACACUAGAAGUGAAUUGCCUCAAGGCUCUGACCCCUGGGAGGCUGAGGCUAAGAUGGUUCUAGGACUGGUUUCCUCUGAGGCUGUGAGCAAGACUGUUUAACUCCUGUCUCGCUUCUGCUGGCGACUAGCAUUUGUUUGUGUCUGCUAGUCUCUACCGUGGAAACAACCACAUCUGCACAGACCCCCGUUCCAAACAAGGUUGCAUUCUGAGGGUCGGAGGUCUAGGAGUUCAAUCCAUGAAUUAUGGGUGGCGACACAUGAUUUAACCCAUAGCAUAACCAGAAGUGGGUUCCACAUAUGGAUCAUGCACAGGAUCUUCUUUUGCCAGUCCACAGAUCGCCAACGAGUCUUCUCGAAAAUGACUUGCACUGGCUUGGCCCCACCCUUCGAGGUGGUAGCAGGCCUCACCUUAUCUUACUUGCAACUCAGGUGUGACUGGCCCCACCCUGGGUGAGAGGUUACUGUGAGCAACCAACACUGGGAGAUCAUGGAGGAAUGGGCCGAGAAGGGACCUCAGGAUAAAAAUAGCUCCAGCAGUAGUGGUAGGUGGCGUGUGCCCAGCUGACCUUUGCCCUUUGAGACUUUGAAAGUCACCAGGUUGGGAUGACUCAGCUCUCCGCUUGUCACCCUGGGGAAGUGUGACUGUACUUGGGGGGGGGGGUCACUUCUCUUUUCCUUCCUCCCCUGGCAGCUCUUCAGGAGCUUCCAGAAGCCUGAAGAGGGUCCCAUGACGACACUGAUGUAAUCCUGUGUGCCCCUGUAAAAGGGGCGUGGUGGGAUCAGAGCUGAACUGUCUUUCAAAGCAGGCUUUGGGCUGAGAGCUCUGGACCCAUUCAUGCGGGGUUUGACUCUUCCAGGCUGAGAGACUGUUAAAGGAAGAAGCAGUGACCCGCAGCUGACUGCAGUGGCCAGGGCUCCAGGGUACACAUCUGUCAAUUCACCUCCCUGGAGGCACGGGCUGCUGGGAGUGAGUUCCGUGAGAAGCUGUUGGGUAUAACCCGUGAAUGCUGAGAGAACUGUAGGCUGCCUGUGGGGAAGAGGGAGCAGGCAUUGCCCUCUCGCCUGUGAAUCGCUAGUGCCUGCUGCAGAGAAGCCUGGGCCCACAGGGCACCGGGUAUGAAGGAAAGCAAGCGGUUCCGUGUUGAAGGCACGGUCUCUGUCCUGCGGCAGUGAACUUCCUGCCUUUGAACCCACUCACCACACUCCCUUUAUGGAUCUCAGGGAAACCCCAGAGCCACGGUGCAACCCCUCCCCACCCACACAGGCCCGCUGCCUGGCCCAGGUACGCGUAGGCUUCUUACUGGGACUUGAAGCUGCACACGUGGGCUCUGGUUCUCACCCACCGCUCUCAUCAGGCGGGGCGUCCCCAGAACAAAGGGUGCCAUCUGCUCAAGGACAAACCCAGACUUCAUUUCUGUUGGUAUCUUCUUUCACCAUCUUUCCUUCCUUAGGCUGUAUUUUAAAUAUUCUCAGUCAUCCUAUCAGACGGAAUGUGUUUCACUAAAAAUGUCAACUUGGUACAGUAAAUGGGUGAUCCUUAGAGGAAAAAGGCCACCUACAGGAUGCAUGAACAGGUUUGCAAAUUGUGGACCUGAUAAAGGACCAAUAUCCGGGAUAUACAAAGAACUCCUACAAGCCGCUGCCACCGCCACCAACAGUGACAGAAACCAGGGAGGCGAUUCAGCCAAGCAAACACUUGUUUUUCCUCUACAAGUCAUAAAAUGGAACCCACACCGGGCAGUGGUGGCGCACGCCUUUAAUCCCAGCUCUUGGGAGGCAGAGGCAGGCGGAUUUCUGAGUUCGAGGCCAGCCUGGUCUACAGAGUGAGUUCCAGGACAGCCAGAGCUGCACAGAGAAACCCUGCCUCGAAAAACAACAACAACAACAACAAAAACAAAACAAAACAGAAACUACUUCCCACCUAUCAGAGCAGCUACCAUGUAAAAACCAUUACUAGUUUUGGUAGGAUGCCCUGGACACUGUUGGUGGGAAAUGAACAUGACUAACUCUGUAGAAUAUUCUCUUUAAAGAAAUGAAGGAAGGGAAAGGAAAGGGGGAGAGGAAAAGGAAGAAAUAGAAUUAUUGUAUGGCUCAGUAAUUCUGUUUCCAGGUAUGAACGCAAAAGAGUAUUUUAAAGGUCAUGGAGGCUGACAAGAUGGAGGAAGGGCAGGUUUAGCUGUAUCUUCUGGGUCACCUGGCAGCCAUUGGUAGCUGUGUGGAAGGUGGUGGUCAUGUACUUGGAGGGCAACAAUAUUUUUGGCACCCAUCCUUCUCGUGCUGUAUUCGCCUUGGCUGGAAAGCAACCAUUCCUACUUCCCACAACCCCGCCAAAGACGAGAGAGGAAGCCUGAGACCUGGAGGGAGACCUGGAGGGAGGGUAAAGGCAGGGUCUCCUUAGGUAACAUGCCAGAAUGUUCCAGAAUACAGACUUUUGAGCUCAGACUCCACUUCAUAGCAAAGUCGCCUUAACCCCACCAUGGGACUGCCUCCACACAGAGGUAAGUUGGAAACAUGGGUACUUAGAAAGGCCUUAGAAGAAAACACAAAGACACUGUCCAAAGCUGGGUGCCCAAGCCUGUGUGUCCAAGACCAGGUGUCCAAGCCUGUGUGUCCAAGGCUGGGUGCCCAAUCACCCAGGCACUUGCCAGGCACCAUUGUAGGCGCACCAGGCCCAAGAGGAGAGGAUGUGGGUUUGAAUAAGACCCAGACUCAGCCCACGUUUGUCGAAAGUGUAACAGUGAACUCAGACAUCUAAAGAUGGAUCACAGAACAGUGACGUAGUUAGUGUAUGUGUGCAGAAAACUGAACAGAAGCAAAAACAAAGAGGACAAAACAAGAAACCCCUGAACUUAGAAGUGGCUGGAAUUCAAAUAUUCAUUUCCCCCCAAAGAUGUAAGUGUGUAUGUGAAGUCUGUAUGCAAAAAGAGGCAGACACCGUUACUCUGCAGGGAGAUGCAAAUCCAAACCACAGUGAGAUGCCACCUCACACCCAGCCUACCCAGCUAAGGGAAAGGACAGAUCCUGACAAGUGUUGAAAGAGGUGAGACACUGGAAUUCUCACAGCUGGCAGACAUAACAAAGCAGCUCUGUUAAACAGUUACUUUUCUCAACGAAAGUUUAAAAACUAGGAAACAAAAGUUACAUAUGAGCCAGGGUUCUGAAAAGAAACAAUGUCUAAGACUUUACAUUCAGAAUUCUUUGUUCUUUCUGACAGGAAAAGAAAAGAAAAGAAAAGAAAAUUGCUCUCAAUUUAUAC
rnacentral:lncRNA from 1 species